UCUUGCAUGUGGGCCUGUGUGCUAUAAUGUCACUUGCUAACAGACGGGCUCUCAUGCUGACAGA